rnacentral:rRNA from 1 species
CCUUAACCUGCUAAAUAGCCCGGCGGGCCGAGGCCCGUCGCCGGCUUCUUAGAGGGACAUUCGGCGUGAGCCGAAGGAAGUUUGAGGCAAUAACAGGUCUGUUAUGCCCUUAGAUGUUCUGGGCCGCACGCGCGCUACACUGACGGAGCCAUCGGGUGAUUUAACCUUGGCCGAAAGGCCCGGGCAAACCUGGAAACUCCGUCGUGCUGGGGAUAGAGCAUUGCAAUUGUUGCUCUUCAACGAGGAAUGCCUAGUAAGCGCGCGUCAUCAGCGCGCGCUGAUUACGUCCCUGCCCUUUGUACACACCGCCCGUCGUUACUACCGAUUGAAUGGCAAAGUGAGGCGUCCCGACCGGCGCCGGGGAGUCGGCAACGACAUCCUGGUGCCGGGAAAGGCGUCAAACUUGGUCAUUUAGAGGAAGUACAAGUCG